CCUCAACCACAAUGUCAGAACAUGUAUUAAUCUGGAACGAUACAAAGAAGAUUAGCAUGGCCAAGAUGCAAGGAUGACGAAAUUUCUGUGUUCUAUAUUUUG
rnacentral:snRNA from 1 species